rnacentral:pre_miRNA from 1 species
UCUACUACUACUCUUUUCUAUUUUUUUCCAACGUUUUAUCGUCCAUCUUAUUUAAAAUAUUUUUAUAAUUAGUAUUUUUAAUUAGAUGAUAAUAUAUGAAUAGUACUUUAUGAAUUACUUAUUUUUAUUUUUUAUUAAUAUUUCAAAUAAGAUAUACGGCCAAAUGUUGAACAUAAAAGACUAUAACUUCACUUAAA